AGCUCAUAAAAAAAUCAAAUUCUUUGCUUACCUUUACUCAGGUUCAGGAUGGUGUUAGUCCUGAACCUGACUCGAAUAGCAGCCACCAAAUGGUGGGGCGCCCCUCCUAGAUCAAGUCAGAAUUCAGGAACUAAGACCAUCCCGGAUGAGCCUGCAAUUGUGAUAAAUGACUGAGUCCCAAAUAGGAUU